rnacentral:rRNA from 1 species
AGUGAACGCUGGCGGUAGGCCUAACACAUGCAAGUCGAACGGCAGCACAGUAAGAGCUUGCUCUUACGGGUGGCGAGUGGCGGACGGGUGAGGAAUACAUCGGAAUCUACUUUUUCGUGGGGGAUAACGUAGGGAAACUUACGCUAAUGCCGCAUACGACCUACGGGUGAAAGCAGGGGAUCUUCGGACCUUGCGCGAUUGAAUGAGCCGAUGUCGGAUUAGCUAGUUGGCGGGGUAAAGGCCCACCAAGGCGACGAUCCGUAGCUGGUCUGAGAGGAUGAUCAGCCACACUGGAACUGAGACACGGUCCAGACUACUACGGGAGGCAGCAGUGGGGAAUAUGGGACAAUGGGCGCAAGCCUGAUCCAGCCAUACCGCGUGGGUGAAGAAGGCCUUCGGGUUGUAAAGCCCUUUUGUUGGGAAAGAAAAGCAGCAGGUUAAUACCCCGCUGUUCUGACGGUACCCAAAGAAUAAGCACCGGCUAACUUCGUG